rnacentral:rRNA from 1 species
AGUGAACGCUGGCGGUAGGCCUAACACAUGCAAGUCGAACGGCAGCACACUAAGAGUUUGCUCUUCCGGGUGGCGAGUGGCGGACGAGUGAGGAAUACAUCGGAAUCUACUUUUUCGUGGGGGAUAACGUAGGGCAACUGACGCUAAUACCGCAUACGACCUACGGGUGAAAGCAGGGGAUCUUCGGACCUUGCGCGACUGAAUGAGCCGAUGCCGGAUUAGCUAGUUGGCGGGGUAAAGGCCCACCAAGGCCACGAUCCGUAGCUGGCCUGAGAGGGUGAUCGGCCACACUGGAACUGAGACACGGUCCAGACUCCUACGGGAGGCAGCAGUGGGGAAUAUUGGGCAAUGGGCGCAAGCCUGAUCCAGCCAUGCCGCGUGGGUGAAGAAGGCCUUCGGGUUGUAAAGCCCUUUUGUUGGGAAAGAACAGGAGCCGGUUAAAACCCCGCUGUUCUGACGGUACCCAAAGAGUAAGCCCCGGCUAACUACGUG